AUUCGUAAAAUGGGUCUCAAUAAUGAACAGUCGAUUUAACUAGAAAAGCUGCCGGAGCUGUUAAAUUAAAGGAGAAUAAAGUGUGGAUCAAGCUUAGUGUGCCAGCCGAAAUGUUGACCUUAAGAAAUGGAAUCCUUCUGGGAGAGACCCAGGACUGGCCGUGUGGUGGUGGUUGCAGGAGCCCAAAAAAGAAGCUGCUUUUGUCCUUACAAUAGAAUCAGGAUUCCUUUCCUCUUAAAGAGCAUUUUAAGCACCUUCCCCCUACAGGAGGGCAGUAGGGGGGAAGGUGCAUCCUGGACGGUCCCCGGGAAGGAGAGCAACACGACGAGACAACCACAAGCUUAAUCUCUUCCAACUAGUGUGGUCCCUGUCUAUGCAGUGACACCCUCAGAGAUCGGGGUCAGCCGAAUACUAAUGACAUGUUUGAUUGAUGGCAGUGUCAGGGAUUGAGAAAGGCCUUGCAAAAUUAAUGACUGCUCAAUGUCCUGAGAAAAGUUAAGGAGGUCUGUUAACAAAAGGACCUCCUCCCCCAUGUGUAUCUCUGAAAAUUGGUCUUUAAAGUCCAGUCCCAUAUGUUUAGAGAUUUGUUUUAUUUUUUACUUAAGUUUUUAACCAACAAGUUUGAAAAGUUAACUAACACAUAGGCAACUGAUGUGAAUUUAGGUUAAUACACAAAGACACUAUCCCCUCAUGCAUUCACACUGGCCCACUGAACUCUCAACCAGAUCUCUAACCACCCCGAAACCC